GGAGCCACAGGAGAAAGACACUAAGAGAGAUUUCUCAGCUACGUACCCCAGGGCUGCGCCAUUCCAGAACGGAAGAGCUGGCGGGGAGGGUGUGAGGCCCAUGAAGCACUUAGGAUCAGCAGGAUACUACUGAGUGUCUUUUGUAAAUCCAGGUUCCACUGGAUCCCGAUCUCAUGUUGGUACAUGUCCUCAUGAAAAAGAUAUACGGAG
rnacentral:lncRNA from 1 species